rnacentral:lncRNA from 1 species
CCCCUGGUGAAACCAGACGUAGCCAGUCGGAGGCCAGAUUGGAACCUGGCCUCCACUUUGCAGCCAGCGGGGGUCCAGGAACUUGAGGGAAGGACCCAGGAAGUGGAAUCUGCAGGGAAGGAAGGAGGUGGGCAGGGAACCAGAGAGGAAGGGCAGCAGGUGUGGGCAUCAUCCUGGAAACGCAAGGUCAAGCCCAGGACGGCCUCUUAGACCAACGCAAAAUGGACCCUGGAGAAGGGUUUGGGGCCCAAUUUCCUAUCUAGCCCGUGCAGCAGCUCUGCCAGCGCUCAAACUGUGGCCCUCGGUCAAGCACCUGCUGAGGAUCUGCCCAGGGAGGCAGACCCUUGGGGGCAGCCCGGGGUCUCAGCCAUGCAGCGCUCCCAGCCUUCAGGCUGUCCGCCUCCCCAGGCCUGGACUUCAGCAAUGAUGGACACCCUUACUCCUAGGAGGUUGCAGGGUCUGGAGAGGAGGCAGACACCUGCCACACACAUGCAUGGUGACAGCAGACCGUUAACGGGCCUGAUAUCUGCCUAUGCCCCUCUGAGCCUGUCCCUUUUCCCUGAGUACAAGGCACAAAGGUUGUGCCCCAGCUUGGCUCUUUAAUCUUUCCCCAACCAAGAGGGAAGCAGGGGGAACUGUGGUUUGUGGGCCCCAGGAUGUCCUAAUGACUCGCCUCCAGGGGAGGGUGACACAGCCUCCAGGCCUCAUUGCUGCUGCUCUUAACAACGUGGUCCUGAGGCAAGAAAGUGUGGCAGGGGCUCCCAGGCUGGUCCCUCUCCUCACCUGAGCUGCCUCCCCAGCUCCCGAGGGUUAUAGGGUGCCAGCAUGGCUUGGCAGAGCCCUGGCAUAGGGCCUGGCCCAUGGGGAGGCAGUCACAGAGUUGGACCCACAGUCAGAGAAGCUGAGGGCAAGGCGGGUGGAGGAGCUGGCAGGCGGGGGAGGCUGCCCAGGGCCAGGGCCUGC